AGUGAACGCUGGCGGCAGGCCUAACACAUGCAAGUCGAACGGCAGCACAGUAAGAGCUUGCUCUUACGGGUGGCGAGUGGCGUACGGGUGAGGAAUACAUCGGAAUCUACUCUUUCGUGGGGGAUAACGUAGGGAAACUUACGCUAAUACCGCAUAUGACGUACGGGUGAAAGCAGGGGAUAUUCGGACCUUGCGGGAAUGAAUGAGCCGAUGACGGACUAGCUAGUUGGCGGGGUAAAGGCCCACCAAGGCGACGAUCCGUAGCUGGUCUGAGAGGAUGGUCGGCCGCACUGGAACUGGGACACGGUCCAUACUCCUACGGGAGGCAGCAGUCGGGAAUAUUAGGCAAUGGGCGCAAGCCUUAUCCAGCCAUACCACGUGUGUGGCGAAGGCCUUCGGGUUGUAAAGCCCUUUUUUUGGGAAAGAAAAGCAUCAGGUUGAUACCCCGCUGUUCUGACGGUACCCAAAAAAUAAGCACCGGCUAACUACGUG
rnacentral:rRNA from 1 species